rnacentral:rRNA from 1 species
UGGUGGAGUGAUUUGUCUGCUUAAUUGCGAUAACGAACGAGACCUUAACCUGCUAAAUAGCCAGGCAAGCUUUGCUUGUCGCCGGCUUCUUAGAGGGACUAUCGGCUCAAGCCGAUGGAAGUUUGAGGCAAUAACA